rnacentral:rRNA from 1 species
AACGCUGGCGGCAGGCCUAACACAUGCAAGUCGAGCGGCAGCGGGGAGUAGCUUGCUACUCUGCCGGCGAGCGGCGGACGGGUGAGUAAAGUCUGGGGAUCUGGCUUAUGGAGGGGGAUAACCAUUGGAAACGGUGGCUAAUACCGCAUGAUGUCGCAAGACCAAAGUGGGGGACCUUAGGGCCUCACGCCAUGAGAUGAACCCAGAUGAGAUUAGCUAGUAGGUGCGGUAAUGGCGUACCUAGGCGACGAUCUCUAGCUGGUCUGAGAGGAUGACCAGCCACACUGGAACUGAGAGACGGUCCAGACUCCUACGGGAGGCAGCAGUGGGGAAUAUUGCACAAUGGGCGGAAGCCUGAUGCAGCCAUGCCGCGUGUGUGAAGAAGGCCUUAGGGUUGUAAAGCACUUUCAGCGGGGAGGAAGGCGGUAAGAGUAAUAUGCUUAUCGAUUGACGUUACCCGCAAAAGAAGCACCGGCUAACUCCGUGCCAGCAGCCGCGGUAAUACGGAGGGUGCGAGCGUUAAUCGGAAUAACUGGGCGUAAAGGGCAUGUAGGCGGUAAGUUAAGUCAGAUGUGAAAUCCCCGAGCUUAACUUGGGAACGGCAUUUGAGACUGGCUGGCUAGAGUUUUGUAGAGGGGGGUAGAAUUCCAGGUGUAGCGGUGAAAUGCGUAGAGAUCUGGAGGAAUACCGGUGGCGAAGGCGGCCCCCUGGACAAGGACUGACGCUGAGGUGCGAAAGCGUGGGUAGCAAACAGGAUUAGAUACCCUGGUAGUCCACGCUGUAAACGAUGUCGAUUUGGAGGUUGUGACCUAGUGUUAUGGCGUCCGAAGCUAACGCGAUAAAUCGACCGCCUGGGGAGUACGGCCGCAAGGUUAAAACUCAAAUGAAUUGACGGGGGCCCGCACAAGCGGUGGAGCAUGUGGUUUAAUUCGAUGCAACGCGAAGAACCUUACCUACUCUUGACAUCCACGGAAUUUGGCAGAGAUGCUUAAGUGCCUUCGGGAGCCGUGAGACAGGUGCUGCAUGGCUGUCGUCAGCUCGUGUUGUGAAAUGUUGGGUUAAGUCCCGCAACGAGCGCAACCCUUGUCCUUUGUUGCCAGCGCGUAAUGGUGGGAACUCAAAGGAGACUGCCGGUGAUAAACCGGAGGAAGGUGGGGAUGACGUCAAGUCAUCAUGGCCCUUACGAGUAGGGCUACACACGUGCUACAAUGGCGCAUACAAAGAGCGGCGAGCGUGCGAACGUAAGCGAACCUCAUAUAAAGUGCGUCGUAGUCCGGAUUGGAGUCUGCAACUCGACUCCAUGAAGUCGGAAUCGCUAGUAAUCGUGGAUCAGAAUGCCACGGUGAAUACGUUCCCGGGCCUUGUACACACCGCCCGUCACACCAUGGGAGUGGGCGGCAAAAGAAGUAGGUAGCU